rnacentral:rRNA from 1 species
AGUGAACGCUGGCGGUAGGCCCAACACAUGCAAGUCGAACGGCAGCACAGGAGAGCUUGCUCUCUGGGUGGCGAGUGGCGGACGGGUGAGGAAUACAUCGGAAUCUACUUUUUCGUGGGGGAUAACGUAGGGAAACUUACGCUAAUACCGCAUACGACCUACGGGUGAAAGCAGGGGACCUUCGGGCCUUGCGCGAUUGAAUGAGCCGAUGUCGGAUUAGCUAGUUGGCGGGGUAAAGGCCCACCAAGGCGACGAUCCGUAGCUGGUCUGAGAGGAUGAUCAGCCACACUGGAACUGAGACACGGUCCAGACUCCUACGGGAGGCAGCAGUGGGGAAUAUUGGAUAAUGGGCGCAAGCCUGAUCCAGCCAUACCGCGUGGGUGGAGAAGGCCUUCGGGUUGUAAAGCCCUUUUGUUGGGAAAGAAAUCCAGCUGGCUAAUACCCGGUUGGGAUGACGGUACCCAAAGAAUAAGCACCGGCUAACUUCGUGCCAGCCGCCGCGGUAA